GGUUUAUGUUCUCAUGAAAGGUAGGCUGGGGAGGGUUUAUGUUCUCAUGAAAGGUAGGCUGGGGAGGGUUUAUGUUCUCAUGAAAGGUAUGCUGGGAGGGGUUGUCAUGAAAGGUAUGCUUGGAGGGGUUGUCAUGAAAGGUAUGCUUGGAGGGGUUGUCAUGAAAGGUAUGCUUGGAGGGGUUGUCAUGAAAGGUAUGCUUGGAGGGGUUGUCAUGAAAGGUAUGCUUGGAGGGGUUGUCAUGAAAGGUAUGCUUGGAGGGGUUGUCAUGAAAGGUAUGCUGGGAGGGGUUAUGUUCUCAUCAUGUAAGGUAUGCUGGGAGGGGUUCUCAUCAUGUAAGGUAUGCUGGGAGGGGUUAUGUUCUCAUCAUGAAAGGUA